rnacentral:rRNA from 1 species
UACGUAGGUGACAAGCGUUGUCCGGAUUUACUGGGCGUAAAGAGCGCGCAGGCGGUCGAUCAAGUCGAGUGUGAAAGCCCCCGGCUCAACUGGGGAGGGUCAUUCGAAACUGGUCGACUCGAAGGCAGGAGAGGGUAGUGGAAUUCCCGGUGUAGUGGUGAAAUGCGUAGAUAUCGGGAGGAACACCAGUGGCGAAGGCGGCAUCCUGGACCAACACUGACGCUGAGGAGCGAAAGCCAGGGGAGCAAACGGG